rnacentral:misc_RNA from 1 species
GGCUUCGUUUGAUACUGAAGGGAUAAGUCUGUUACUGCAGAAAGUUGAGUUCGAGAGGUUAAUGGACAGAGAGAGGAGGGGAGUUGGGGGAAGGAAAAGGUUACCAAAACAAACCUGAAAUAAUACUUUAUUCAGACUAUGUUUUGUCCUUUUCGAUUCAAACUCUGCUUAAUAAUAUGUUCACCCUUUCAUCUUCGAUUCCUCAAAAAUUGUUAACCUAGUUAAUUCACCACAGUACUUGGAGGCACUCAUUAAUAUACUAUAGUUUUGUGCAAGCAAUUUUCUUUACAUC